rnacentral:rRNA from 1 species
UGACCGUACUAAGGUAGCAUAAUGAUUUGCCUUUUAAUUGGAGGCUAGUAUGAAUGGUUUGACGUGAAAUAUACUGUCUCAACUAUAUUUAGUAGAAUUUAACCUUUAGGUGAAGAGGCCUAAAUUUUGUGGGAAGACAAGAAGACCCUAUUGAGCUUUAAAUAUUUGUGUUAGUGAGAACCUAAGAUUUAUAUGAUGGUCAUUACUUCUAAGUAUGUUGGUUGGGGCGACCGAGGAGUGUAAAAUAACCUCCUUUUAGUGUAAAGAAUUUGUUAUCAACGAACCUGUAAUAUAGGUUAUUCGGUAGUUACCAUAGGGAUAACAGCGUAAUUCUUUUGAAGAGUUCCUAUCGAAGAAAGAGAUUGCGACCUCGAUGUUGGAUUAAGGUGUCCUAAGGG